GUAGGUGGCAAGCGUUGUCCGGAAUUAUUGGGCGUAAAGCGCGCGCAGGCGGGUUCUUUAAGUCUGAUGUGAAAGCCCACGGGCUCAACCGUGGAGGGUCAUUGGAAACUGGAGAACUUGAGUACAGAAGAGGAAAGCGGAAUUCCACGUGUAGCGGUGAAAUGCGUAGAGAUGUGGAGGAACACCAGUGGCGAAGGCGGCUUUCUGGUCUGUAACUGACGCUGAGGCGCGAAAGCGUGGGGAGCAAACAGGAUUAGAUACCCUGGUAGUCCACGCCGUAAACGAUGAGUGCUAAGUGUUAGGGGGUUUCCGCCCCUUAGUGCUGCGGCUAACGCAUUAAGCACUCCGCCUGGGGAGUACGACCGCAAGGUUG
rnacentral:rRNA from 1 species